rnacentral:rRNA from 1 species
CAGAGGGGGCAAGCGUUGCUCGGAAUCACUGGGCGUAGAGGGCGCGUAGGCGGGAUGGCAAGUCGGUCGUGAAAUCCCUGGGCUCAACUCAGGGGGGUCGGCCGAUACUGCCGUUCUUGAGGGAUGCAGAGGAGACUGGAAUUCCCGGUGUAGCGGUGAAAUGUGUAGAGAUCGGGAGGAACACCGGUGGCGAAGGCGGGUCUCUGGGCAUUCCCUGACGCUGAGGCGCGAAAGCGUGGGGAGCAAACGGGAUUAGAUACCCCGGUAGUCCACGCGGUAAACGAUGACGACUAGGUGUGGGGGGGUUAAGUCCCUUCCGUGCCGCAGCUAACGCAUUAAGUCGUCCGCCUGGGGAGUACGGCCGCGAGGUUG